GGGUUUUCAUUUCUCUCCCCUCUUCCCCUGCUGGUGGCGGCUGGGGAAAGCAGAGAGGUGGUCGUGCCUGCCUGCCGCUGGUGGCGCCUCUCCGACGCCGGUUGUGCCUUGGCCAAGAUCCUUGACCCCGGCCACUCCUCCCCACCUCCGGCCACGAUGUUCCAUCCUGAAAGCUCCUCGCUCAUCCUAGGUUGGUUCCAUGGAGGCUUCACGAAAUCAAGGGAAUGCUGGGCGGGUGCGCAGCGGCAUCGUCAUCGGCGGCGGCGGCGGCAGCGGCGGCGCUGGUGCUGUCAGUGAAGCGACGAGAGAGAGGGAUACCCAAGGUGCAGGCACAAGCACAAGUGUGAACCCGACAAGAGCUGCAGCAGCACGGCCUACACAAGCUAACCAAGGAAUGCAGUAUUGUUGUCCCACCCAGUUCACAUUCGGCAAUGGCAUGUUAUCCCAUCCGGCAUCUUGGCAGUACUGUGAUCCUAGCAGUAAUGCAGCGUGGCAGAUGAAUUUUACGGAGACGAUGAAAGAAAUUCCAGUAUUUACAGUUAUAGUCAAUUUAUGCAUGAUUUUUUGGUGCAUGAUUCCUUAUUUUGUUAUCUGUAAUUUAGAUCAAGGAAACUAUUUUAAGCUGUAUAUUUGUGUCUAACAUUGUUAAUCUACUCUUUGUCCAUGGUAACUAAAUUAAAUCCUUAUAUUAUGCUUUGAUUGUUUUUGGAAUAUAUAGGGCCUCGUAGUGGAGACAUUAAAUCAUUACUUAGUUGUCUCCCGGUCCGAAAUUCGGUCAAAAUCUGAAAUUCGUCCAAUUCGGUGAGGUCCGAAUUUUUUCUGAUUUUGAAUCCCAAAACCUUGGGCACAAGCAGCACUCUGACCACUAGAAAUGUUUGCACUUAUUUCAGUUUGUGGGUUGUGAUUCCUGUGUAUUUUAGUGCCAGUAAGGAUAACACCUGUGAAUAUUAUUAUCUCCUCCAGUAAGGACAAUGAUAUAAGUUUGCCUUUCUGUUUUCCUGAAUUUAUAUGACGACACUGCAAACUUAAGUUGUCCUAACCUGAGAUCUGUAGUUGUACUGAAUACAUUUUAAAACUAUAGUACUAUAAUUCAGAGAUCAGAAUAUAAUGCCCACAUGUGCUAUCUCUAUCCUGCUCUGAAUUUGGCCUAGGGGUGGAUGGCUACCUGAAUAUGCAAUUGUAUGGUUUAUGAAAGUAUCAGUUUCGGAAAUUUUUAGUACAUCAGUCAUGAACUAGUCAAUCAUGAAAGCUACCUAAAUCUGAAAUACUGAUAGCUUUCUAAAUCUAUUAGCUGCUAUCUGAAAUUGUAUCAGUUUCUGAAAUUGUUAUUGCAUCAAUCAUGAAAGCUACCUGAAUCUAAAAUACUGAUAGCUUUCUGGAUCUAUUAGCUGCUAUCUGAAAUACUUCUGUUUGUGAUAUUUACAAACUUGCUGCUAUCCAUCUAAUAACUAGUAGCUAUGCACACUUAAAUGGCUAUAUUUAACACUCUUGUUUACACUUAAUAACUUGUAGCUGUCCAGACUUAAUCGUUUAAUAAGUAGCAGCUGUACACACAAUUAUUUCAAGUUCUAUAUUAGUUUUUUCUCUAGUCAGUAUAUGGUCUAACAAAUUUGCAACAUGAAGGUCAUAUCUAACAAAUCUAGAUUUUUUGGUUGCUAUUGUUGCUAGGUUGAAGUAGAGGCCUAUCUUGCUCAAACAACUGAAGAUGGGCAAGAUCAUGGGCAAGAUCAUGGGCAAGAUCAUGGGCAAGAUCCAAAGACACCAGUUGAAGCUAUAGCUCAUGUUCUGCCCAAAUCAACUUUCUUCUCAAUAUUGGCAUGGAGUCCAAAUAGAUGAAGAAAGAUGCUAAAGCUGCUGCGAUGAACAAGCGUGUGCAAGAACUGAUGUUCUGGAUGUAGCUGAUGUUCUGAAGACAUUUGAGAUUUUUUAUGUAGCCUAUGUUCUGCAGAUAUUUGAGAUUCUGGAUGUGUAGCCUAUGUUCUGCAUUCAUUUGUGCUUUUGGUGUUGUAUUGUUGUUUGAGACCUGUAUAAAAUGCCUGUGAUAUUUUAAUUAAUUGUGGAGAUUGCUUAUUUGAUUCUAGUUGUGUGGGCUGAAUA